rnacentral:lncRNA from 13 species
CCUCCAAAAUAUGUGAAACUUGAAGGAAUUAGGUUAGAAAAUAUCUUUUAAAAAAUAGAAGUGACACCUCCACUCUGUGGAGACCUACAUGGAACAAGAGAACUGAAGAACUACCUAGUUGGUCCUGCUCAUUCUCAUCUACAAGUUCUCAGCACAAACAGCAUUGCUUUAGAGGUUCUCCAGAAAAAUAAAAUCCAUAAGAAAAUUAACGGAAACACAGAGAUAAAGACAGAGAGAUAUAAUUUAUCAAAAAGAAUUGGCUCACAUGAUUAUGGAGGCUUGGAAGCUUUGAUGUCUUAAGAUCUGCAGUUGGCAAGCUGGAGACCUAGGAGCACUGAUACGUAGCUCCUGAUUCCUGUCCAAGUCUGAAGGCCUGAGAAUUAGGAAAGCUGAUGGCAUAAAUCCCAAUCUGUGUAUGACUCUGAGGACAGAAUAUUAAUACCCCGGCUGAAGACAGUCAGGAAGAUUUCCCCAUGCUGUUCUCCUGAUAAUCUCACAGAAUCUGAUGGUUUUAUAAGAUUCUGGCAUUGCCCCUGCUCCCAGUCACUGUGU